rnacentral:rRNA from 1 species
GGAAUAUUGGACAAUGGGCGCAAGCCUGAUCCAGCAAUGCCGCGUGUGUGAAGAAGGCCUGCGGGUUGUAAAGCACUUUUGUCAGGAAAGAAAAGCGUAGGGCUAAUACCCUUGCGUCUUGCCGGUACCUGAAGAAUAAGCACCGGCUAACUCCUUGCCAGCAGCCGCGGUAAUACGGAGGGUGCAAGCGUUAAUCGGAAUUACUGGGCGUAAAGCGUGUGUAGGUGGUGACGUAAGUCGGAUGUGAAAGCCCCGGGCUUAACCUGGGAAUUGCAUUCGAUACUGCGUGACUAGAGUUUAGUAGAGGAAAGUGGAAUUCCAGGUGUAGCGGUGAAAUGCGUAGAUAUCUGGAGGAACAUCAGUGGCGAAGGCGGCUUUCUGGACUAAAACUGACACUGAGGCACGAAAGCGUGGGGAGCAAA